rnacentral:rRNA from 1 species
CAACCUCAACUCAUAUGGGACUACCCCCUGAAUUUAAGCAUAUUAAUUAGGGGAGGAAAAGAAACUAACAAGGAUUUUCUUAGUAGCGGCGAGCGAAAAGAAAACAGUUCAGCACUAAGUCACUUUGUCUAUAUGGCAAAUGUGAGAUGCAGUGUAUGGAGCGUCAAUAUUCUAGUAUGAGAAAUUAACGAUUUAAGUCCUUCUUAAAUGAGGCCAUUUACCCAUAGAGGGUGCCAGGCCCGUAUAACGUUAAUGAUUACUAGAUGAUGUUUCCAAAGAGUCGUGUUGCUUGAUAGUGCAGCACUAAGUGGGUGGUAAACUCCAUCUAAAACUAAAUAUAACCAUGAGACCGAUAGUAAACAAGUACCGUGAGGGAAAGUUGAAAAGAACUCUGAAUAGAGAGUUAAACAGUACGUGAAACUGCUUAGAGGUUAAGCCCGAUGAACCUGAAUAUCCGUUAUGGAAAAUUCAUCAUUAAAAUUGUAAUAUUUAAAUAAUAUUAUGAGAAUAGUGUGCAUUUUUUCCAUAUAAGGACAUUGUAAUCUAUUAGCAUAUACCAAAUUUAUCAUAAAAUAUAACUUAUAGUUUAUUCCAAUUAAAUUGCUUGCAUUUUAACACAGAAUAAAUGUUAUUAAUUUGAUAAAGUGCUGAUAGAUUUAUAUGAUUACAGUGCGUUAAUUUUUCGGAAUUAUAUAAUGGCAUAAUUAUCAUUGAUUUUUGUGUUUAUUAUAUGCACUUGUAUGAUUAACAAUGCGAAAGAUUCAGGAUACCUUCGGGACCCGUCUUGAAACACGGACCAAGGAGUCUAACAUAUGUGCAAGUUAUUGGGAUAUAAACCUAAUAGCGUAAUUAACUUGACUAAUAAUGGGAUUAGUUUUUUAGCUAUUUAUAGCUAAUUAACACAAUCCCGGGGCGUUCUAUAUAGUUAUGUAUAAUGUAUAUUUAUAUUAUUUAUGCCUCUAACUGGAACGUACCUUGAGCAUAUAUGCUGUGACCCGAAAGAUGGUGAACUAUACUUGAUCAGGUUGAAGUCAGGGGAAACCCUGAUGGAAGACCGAAACAGUUCUGACGUGCAAAUCGAUUGUCAGAAUUGAGUAUAGGGGCGAAAGACCAAUCGAACCAUCUAGUAGCUGGUUCCUUCCGAAGUUUCCCUCAGGAUAGCUGGUGCAUUUUAAUAUUAUAUAAAAUAAUCUUAUCUGGUAAAGCGAAUGAUUAGAGGCCUUAGGGUCGAAACGAUCUUAACCUAUUCUCAAACUUUAAAUGGGUAAGAACCUUAACUUUCUUGAUAUGAAGAUCAAGGUUAUGAUAUAAAUGUCCCAGUGGGCCACUUUUGGUAAGCAGAACUGGCGCUGUGGGAUGAACCAAACGUAAUGUUACGUGCCCAAAUUAACAACUCAUGCAGAUACCAUGAAAGGCGUUGGUUGCUUAAAACAGCAGGACGGUGAUCAUGGAAGUCGAAAUCCGCUAAGGAGUGUGUAACAACUCACCUGCCGAAGCAACUAGCCCUUAAAAUGGAUGGCGCUUAAGUUGUAUACCUAUACAUUACCGCUAAAGUAGAUGAUUUAUAUUACUUGUGAUAUAAAUUUUGAAACUUUAGUGAGUAGGAAGGUACAAUGGUAUGCGUAGAAGUGUUUGGCGUAAGCCUGCAUGGAGCUGCCAUUGGUACAGAUCUUGGUGGAUAGUAGCAAAUAAUCGAAUGAGAGCCUUGGAGGACUGAAGUGGAGAAGGGUUUCGUGUGAACAGUGGUUGAUCACGAGUUAGUCGGUCCUAAGUUCAAGGCGAAAGCGAAAAUUUUCAAGUAAAACAAAAAUGCCUAACUAUAUAAACAAAGCGAAUUAUAAUACACUUGAAUAAUUUUGAACGAAAGGGAAUACGGUUCCAAUUCCGUAACCUGUUGAGUAUCCGUUUGUUAUUAAAUAUGGGCCUCGUGCUCAUCCUGGCAACAGGAACGACCAUAAAGAAGCCGUCGAGAGAUAUCGGAAGAGUUUUCUUUUCUGUUUUAUAGCCGUACUACCAUGGAAGUCUUUCGCAGAGAGAUAUGGUAGAUGGGCUAGAAGAGCAUGACAUAUACUGUUGUGUCGAUAUUUUCUCCUCGGACCUUGAAAAUUUAUGGUGGGGACACGCAAACUUCUCAACAGGCCGUACCAAUAUCCGCAGCUGGUCUCCAAGGUGAAGAGUCUCUAGUCGAUAGAAUAAUGUAGGUAAGGGAAGUCGGCAAAUUAGAUCCGUAACUUCGGGAUAAGGAUUGGCUCUGAAGAUUGAGAUAGUCGGCCUUGAUUGGGAAACAAUAACAUGGUUUAUGUGCUCGUUCUGGGUAAAUAGAGUUUCUAGCAUUUAUGUUAGUUACUUGUUCCCCGGAUAGUUUAGUUACGUAGCCAAUUGUGGAACUUUCUUGCUAAAAUUUUUAAGAAUACUAUUUGGGUUAAACCAAUUAGUUCUUAUUAAUUAUAACGAUUAUCAAUUAACAAUCAAUUCAGAACUGGCACGGACUUGGGGAAUC